CAUCAAAAGUGGGCGAUGUGCAAAAUUACCAGCCAAUUGAAUCAGAUUGGCUUCUUACCAGGACGGUGGUGUGAUAAAGCUGGUAGGAUUAUCGGACGUUACAAUGAACUCUUCAAAUUCUCAAAUUUAAUGCUGGAAGAUAUUAGGAAGCAAUAUACCAAUGCUGGUAUUGUUUACUCAUGGCAUCACCCUUGUCCUAGCUCUCUCUGCAAUUCCUCCAGCUUACCAACCCUCCACGAUUUCUGCACCUUUCCAGUUCUGGACUCCCACCCCGACCAUCUCAAUUUGGGACCUGCAACAAAUGCUGGUCUUGACAGCCAUGCUCAUUUCAUAAAAGAGUUAAAAUAAUCUCUGAAAUUCGCUCCAUAAAGAACUCUGUUCCUGUGUCGUAAAUUGAUACGUUUCUAAUUCAAAGAGACUAUAUAAAUGAAAGUAAUUUGUUGUUGUCCCACUUCUCAUGUUACUCGGUAAUUCAGGAAGUGAAGACAGAGGCGGGAGUUUCCCAGCUCUCAGUGAUUGGAUUAGCGAGCCGCAUAAAAGGCCACUUUCGGGGUUGUUUGUCCUUUUUGGUGGUGGGCAUCUUCUCGUUCACGGGGAGGAGACGAUGGCUCCUGCAUAUCUCUCUCUCUUCCCCCCCUCCAAAAGGGAGGAGAGGAGAGUUCCUGUCCAAGGCAGGGACACUAGUGUGUCAGCACACUAGUGCGCAGAACAGUGAAAUGGAGACUGAUCGAAUAGAUCUGGAAAGUGAAAGUAUUGAAGACAAGAAAUGGAAGGCACUGAGAAGUUAUCUCUUCUGUUGCCUUUGAUGCCUCUGAUCGAAGAGAAUGGACUGAAAGAGAACUUUGAACUUACAAGCAACAUAAUAAACCAACGUAUGACCUACGCAAGGAGUAAAAACAGAAAUAACUUUUAAAGAAUAAAAUGAAGCGCAACUUUGAGCAUAAACACGUGAAAUGUAUGAAAUAUUUUAAAUUUAUUUCUUAUUUAUUUUCUUUGCUUUUGGUUGACUGCGUUGCUUGGUUAGCUGAGAUGGGGAGCGCUCAGCAGGGAAAAUACAGCUCCCAAUAAAUAAAGCAAAUUUAAAAAAAA